rnacentral:rRNA from 1 species
GACGAACGCUGGCGGCGUGCCUAAUACAUGCAAGUCGAACGCAGUGGGGACGGGUGAGUAACAAGUGGGUAACCUCCCAUCAGAGGGGAUAACCCUUGGAAAAAGGUGCUAAACCGAUAUUGGUGGAUGGACUCGCGGGGCAUUAGCUAGUUGGUGGGGUAACGGCUCACCAAGGCCACGAUGCAUACCCGGCCUGAUAGGGUGAUCAGCCACACUGGGACUGAGACACGGCCCAGACUCCUACGGGAGGCAGCAGUAGGGAAUCUUCGGCAAUGGACGAAAGUCUGACCGAGCAACGCCGCGUGAGUGAAGAAGGUUUUCGGAUCGUAAAACUCUGUUGUUAGAGAAGCGUUAUCUAACCAGAAAGCCACGGCUAACUACGUGCCAGCAGCCGCGGUAAUUC